CAAUAGCGUAUAUUUAAGUUGUUGCAGUUAAAAAGCUCGUAGUUGGAUUUCGGAUGGGAUUUGCCGGUCCGUCGUUACGAUGUGCACUGGCCAGUCCUAUCUUGUUGUCGGGGACUAGCUCCUUGGAUUCACUUCCUGGGACUAGGAGCUGACGAGGUUACUUUGAGUAAAUUAGAGUGUUCAAAGCAAGCCUACGCUCUGAAUACAUUAGCAUGGAAUAACACGAUAGGACUCUGGCUUAUCUUGUUGGUCUGUGAGACCAGAGUAAUGAUUAAGAGGGACAGUCGGGGACAUUCGUAUUUCAUUGCCAGAGGUGAAAUUCUUGGAUUUAUGAAAGACGAACUUCUGCGAAAGCAUUUGUCAAGGAUGUUUNCAUUAA
rnacentral:rRNA from 1 species